rnacentral:lncRNA from 1 species
CUUAUGAAGGAGAAAGCUGAGUUUGCUCAAGCACUCAAUCUUCUCGAUCAUGUAUAGUACAUGAUCAGUGACUGACACUUCUUCCCUCAUUCAAGCAUUAAAGAUAUUACAACUUAUUCCUCUCAACAUCAUCGGGGGUGCCAAAGGACUCAUUCAAUAUUUGUAACAUAUCUUGAAGCUGAGCAUUCUUGAAUCGAUCGCUGAAUUCAUCAUUCAUUACUGCCAGUAUAAUAC